rnacentral:rRNA from 1 species
GAUGAACGCUGGCGGCGUGCCUAAUACAUGCAAGUCGAGCGAACAGAUGAGAAGCUUGCUUCUCUGAUGUUAGCGGCGGACGGGUGAGUAACACGUGGGUAACCUACCUAUAAGACUGGGAUAACUCCGGGAAACAGGGGCUAAUACCGGAUAAUAUUUUGAACCGCAUGGUUCAAUAGUGAAAGACGGUUUCGGCUGUCACUUAUAGAUGGACCCGCGCCGUAUUAGCUAGUUGGUAAGGUAAUGGCUUACCAAGGCGACGAUACGUAGCCGACCUGAGAGGGUGAUCGGCCACACUGGAACUGAGACACGGUCCAGACUCCUACGGGAGGCAGCAGUAGGGAAUCUUCCGCAAUGGGCGAAAGCCUGACGGAGCAACGCCGCGUGAGUGAUGAAGGUCUUCGGAUCGUAAAACUCUGUUGUUAGGGAAGAACAAAUUUGUUAGUAACUGAACAAGUCUUGACGGUACCUAACCAGAAAGCCACGGCUAACUACGUGCCAGCAGCCGCCGCCG